GAUGAAGAACGUAGCGAAAUGCGAUAAGUAAUGUGAAUUGCAGAAUUCAGUGAAUCAUCGAAUCUUUGAACGCACAUUGCGCCCGCCAGUAUUCUGGCGGGCAUGCCUGUUCGAGCGUCAUUACAACCCUCAGGCCCCCGGGCCUGGCGUUGGGGAUCGGCGGAAGCCCCCUGCGGGCACAACGCCGUCCCCCAAAUACAGUGGCGGUCCCGCCGCAGCUUCCAUUGCGUAGUAGCUAACACCUCGCAACUGGAGAGCGGCGCGGCCACGCCGUAAAACACCCAACUUAUGAAUGUUGACCUCGAAUCAGGUACGAAUACCCGCUGAACUUAAGCAUAUCAAUAAGCGGAGGA
rnacentral:misc_RNA from 1 species